GAGUUUGAUCGUGGCUCAGAGUGAACGCUGGCGGUAGGCCUAACACAUGCAAGUCGAACGGCAGCACAGGAGAGCUUGCUCUCUGGGUGGCGAGUGGCGGACGGGUGAGGAAUACAUCGGAAUCUACCUUUUCGUGGGGGAUAACGUAGGGAAACUUACGCUAAUACCGCAUACGACCUUAGGGUGAAAGUGGGGGACCGCAAGGCCUCACGCGAAAUAGAUGAGCCGAUGUCGGAUUAGCUAGUUGGCGGGGUAAAGCCCACCAAGGCGACGAUCCGUAGCUGGUCUGAGAGGAUGAUCAGCCACACUGGAACUGAGACACGGUCCAGACUCCUACGGGAGGCAGCAGUGGGGAAUAUUGGACAAU
rnacentral:rRNA from 1 species